CUCUGCUUGACGUACCCUGCCGCGGGGUGGUGCUCUGACUGCGGCAACCGUUGAAGGGCUGCCCCCGGAAGGCAGCGCGGCGCCACGGGUCCCUUAAACAGCUUUUCAUGUUUGUUCUACACAAGAGAAAUGACUGUGACCGUACCAUUUUCCUGAGCUGUGGCAAUCAGAACUGGGAGUGGGAACUUGUCUACAGAACACUCAAACUUGGCAAGGAUGGUGCAGAUUUUGAAAGAUAAUGGCUUUAUCCCCUCCCAGCCCUGAUGAUAUUAUCAGAGAGCCUCAUUCAUCUGCCUUGUUACUUCUGUUACCACCUCAGAGAGUCCAGAUGGGGUGAGAGCCUUACAAAAGAGCUUGAGUUCAAGUUCCCUGUCUUCUGGUCUGCUAUGUGAGGAGAAUCGGCAACAAGACACCAUCUUGGAAGCAGAGAACAACUUUUGUCAGACAUCACUCCUGCCAGCACCUACAUUUUGGAUGCCCCAACCUUAGAACCAUGAAAAAUAAAUUUCUAUUGUCUAUAAA